rnacentral:rRNA from 1 species
ACGCUGGCGGCAUGCUUACACAUGCAAGUCGAACGGUACAGGUCUUCGGACGCUGACGAGUGGCGACGGGUGAGUAAUACAUCGGAACGUGCCCAGUCGUGGGGGAUAACUACUCGAAAGAGUAGCUAAUGCCGCAUACGAUCUGAGGAUGAAAGCGGGGGACCUUCGGGCCUCGCGCGAUUGGAGCGGCCGAUGGCAGAUUAGGUAGUUGGUGGGAUAAAAGCUUACCAAGCCGACGAUCUGUAGCUGGUCUGAGAGGACGACCAGCCACACUGGGACUGAGACACGGCCCAGACUCCUACGGGAGGCAGCAGUGGGGAAUUUUGGACAAUGGGCGAAAGCCUGAUCCAGCAAUGCCGCGUGCAGGAUGAAGGCCUUCGGGUUGUAAACUGCUUUUGUACGGGAACGAAAAAGCUUCUCCUAAUACGAGAGGCCCAUGACGGUACCGUAAGAAUAAGCACCGGCUAA